rnacentral:rRNA from 1 species
AAAGGAAUAGACGGGGGCCCGCACAAGCGGUGGAGCAUGUGGUUUAAUUCGAUGCAACGCGAAGAACCUUACCAAGAUUUGACAUGCCGGCGGCAGGCUUAGAGAUAAGCCGUCCCUUUGGGCGCCGGACACAGGUGGUGCAUGGUUGUCGUCAGCUCGUGUCGUGAGAUGUUGGGUUAAGUCCCGCAACGAGCGCAACCCUUAUCUUCAGUAGCCAGCGGGUAAAGCCGGGCACUCUGGAGAGACUGCCGUGGAUAACACGGAGGAAGGCGGGGAUGAGGUCAAAUCAUCAUGCCCUUUAUGUCUUGGGCUACACACGUGCUACAAUGGCAGCAACAAAGCGAAGCGAACGGGCGACCGCGAGCGAAACGCAAAAAAGCUGUCUCAGUUCGGAUUGCAGGCUGCAACCCGCCUGCAUGAAGCUGGAAUCGCUAGUAAUCGCGGAUCAGAAUGCCGCGGUGAAUACGUUCCCGGGCCUUGUACACACCGCCCGU